AACACACACCCACGCCACUCUCUCAUCUCUCCCACGGCUUCUCUCUCUCUCUCUGUCUCUCAUCAAAUUUCUUCCCCAAAUCUCAAAUUAACUAAGGGAUCUUGGAGUAUUUUUCUCCUAGAGUCGAGUUCUAGCCUUUGAUUGCGUUGGAAAGCUCGGAGGAGGUGUUUUCGGGAGAGGUUUUGCCCGGAGAUUCUUGGGGUUUUAAUUUCAACCUUCGAGGAAGUUCGAGUCAUCACGUGGAUCGAGGUGAGUGAUUUAAUACUUAAACACAUGGUUUUGAACUUGUUUUUCUUAUCGAGCUUAUUUGAACAUGUUUUAUAAAUUAUGUACUCCAUGGAUAACAAUGAAAGGUGGACUUAUUUGUGAAAUAUUUGCGAAUCUAUUUAAUGGCAUUCCCAACGUCCGGUCUUGCUAGGGGACGUCUUAAUGGCUAGCAAGGGUGUUUGAGGUUGGUAUUUGUUUUGGGAUAAUGCGUAGACGUCUGGCUUAUCCACUAAUGGGGACGCCCGGUAGCAUUUGAAUUUUGAAUAACGGAAUGUGCAUUAUAUUUGGCUUAUGGUUUUGAGUUCUUUGUUUUGAAAUAUUAUCAAAUUAUUUUGCAUUGUCCAUGGAAGGCAUGUGAGUUAAGUAUUAAUCAUUCACACGAGCUUUGGCUUAUGUAUUUUCUUUUCCACCUUUCAGGAAGCAACGCGUAGUGUGGCAGAGUGUUUACUUUAGUUUGUAAAUUUGUAGGUAAGCACAGCUCUGAGAGGUUUAUCCUUUUGGUUUGUAAACCUAUGUAAGACUUUGGUUUGUUAUCAAUAAAAGUUAACUUUUGCUUC